GUGCUCACUUCAAUAGCACAUAUACUGAAAUUGGAACAAGGAACGAUACAGAGAAGAUUAACAUGGCCCCUGCACAAGGAUGACGUGCAAACUUGCGAAGUAUUCCAUAUUUUU
ensembl:snRNA U6 U6 spliceosomal RNA